rnacentral:lncRNA from 1 species
GUGGUAUCAAGAACUUUAUUGCACGAACUAUGUUAAUAAAGCAAAUGAAACUAACAAUGUUGAUAUACUGUAAGUUGGGUUAUUUUGGUUGUAGUUUUAUUUUGGUUAAUUUGGUGCCUCCAAUUAAAGUGCCAAAAUUAAACACACGAAAAAAAAAGCAAGAACCAAAUAUUGAAAUGCCACAAUCGAGGACCGGUACGACGCUAUCGUAAUGUUAAUUGUUGGGGUAAAUAUCAAUCCGGUACCUAUAAAGAUAAAAAUUUACUCCCCCCCCCCCCAAAAAAAAAAUGGGAACUUCAUAUCGUUUGGUAAGUUUGAGAUAACUUCUGAUAAAAA